UCUCCGUUGGUGAACCAGCGGAGGGAUCAUUACAGGACUCGCAAGACUCCUUCACCCUGUGAACCUCACUACAAGCACGUUGCUUCGGCGGGUGUCCCGGCGGGGGUUUUCCCUCGCCGGGGCGCACAGCCCGCCGGCAGCCUACUAUACUCUGUCUCUUUGCGUAGGCAUCUCGAGAAAAAACAAACAAGUUAAAACUUUCAACAACGGAUCUCUUGGUUCUG
rnacentral:misc_RNA from 1 species